CUUUAUUGGAGAGUUUGAUCCUGGCUCAGGACGAACGCUGGCGGCGUGCCUAAUACAUGCAAGUCGAGCGGACUUGAUGGAGUGCUUGCACUCCUGAAGGUUAGCGGCGGACGGGUGAGUAACACGUAGGCAACCUGCCCUCAAGACUGGGAUAACUACCGGAAACGGUAGCUAAUACCGGAUAAUUUAUUUUGCAGCAUUGUGAGAUAAUGAAAGGCGGAGCA
rnacentral:rRNA from 1 species